rnacentral:rRNA from 1 species
CCUACGUGUGGCAGCAGUGGGGAAUAUUGCACAAUGGGGGAAACCCUGAUGCAGCGACGCCGCGUGAGUGAAGAAGUAAUUCGGUAUGUAAAGCUCUAUCAGCAGGGAAGAAAAUGACGGUACCUGAGUAAGAAGCCCCGGCGAACUACGUGCCAGCAGCCGCGGUAAUACGUAGGGGGCAAGCGUUAUCCGGAUUUACUGGGUGUAAAGGGAGCGUAGACGGCAGUGCAAGUCUGGAGUGAAAGGCGGGGGUUCAACCCCAGGACUGCUAUGGAAACUGUACGGCUGGAGUGCAGGAGAGGUAAGUGGAAUUCCUAGUGUAGCGGUGAAAUGCGUAGAUAUUAGGAGGAACACCAGUGGCGAAGGCGGCUUACUGGACUGUAACUGACGUUGAGGCUCGAAAGCGUGGGGAGCAAACAGGAUUAGAUACCCCAGUAGUC